GUUUCAUGCUCUCCUGUCUUUCCUGAGCUCUGUGUCUGGUCUGAAGAAGGUGGAUCUGAAUGUGAGCAGUCUGACUGAGAGCUGGGCUUCCAGGAUCCUCUCCCUCAUCCAGACCUGCCCCAGUCUACAGGGAGUCAGUUUUAAAGCUGGUGAUGACGGUUUAUUACUGGAAGAGGGAAUCAGGUUACUGCAGCACUCUCAGAUACUCCCAGACUGCACUCUGACUGUUGAGGGGAGGAGAUGCACUAAACCCACUGACCAGUGCACUGAGGACAAGGACAGACAACUCACCUGCAACCAGACAGUGAAACUUCAGCUCUGUGGAGAGUCCUUCACAAUCUUAGAUUAGUAAGAGACUUGAAUUUUAGAAUGACAUUACAUACAAAUGGGCAUUAACCACCAGUCUAAUACAAUGUAUGACAGAGAGUCUACAUUGUUAUAGAGAUU